rnacentral:rRNA from 1 species
CCUACGGGAGGCAGCAGUGAGGAAUAUUGGUCAAUGGGCGCGAGCCUGAACCAGCCAAGUAGCGUGAAGGAUGACUGCCCUACGGGUUGUAAACUUCUUUUAUAAAGGAAUAAAGUGAGGCACGUGUGCCUGUUUGUAUGUACCUUAUGAAUAAGGAUCGGCUAACUCCGUGCCAGCAGCCGCGGUAAUACGGAGGAUCCGAGCGUUAUCCGGAUUUAUUGGGUUUAAAGGGAGCGUAGGUGGGUUGUUAAGUUAGUGGUGAAAGUUUGCGGCUCAACCGUGGAAUUGCAAUUGAUACUGGCAGCCUUGAGUAUAGUUGAGGUAGGCGGAAUGCGUGGUGUAGCGGUGAAAUGCUUAGAGAUCACGCAGAACUCCGAUUGCGAAGGCAGCCUACUAAGCUGCCACUGACGUUGAUGCUCGAAAGUGUGGGUAUCAAACAGGAUUAGAUACCCGGGUAGUC